AACGAACGCUGGCGGCAUGCCUAACACAUGCAAGUCGAACGAGACCUUCGGUCUAGUGGCGCACGGGUGCGUAACGCGUGGGAAUCUGCCCUUGGGUUCGGAAUAACAGCGAGAAAUUGCUGCUAAUACCGGAUGAUGACGUAAGUCCAAAGAUUUAUCGCCCAAGGAUGAGCCCGCGUAGGAUUAGCUAGUUGGUGAGGUAAAGGCUCACCAAGGCGACGAUCCUUAGCUGGUCUGAGAGGAUGAUCAGCCACACUGGGACUGAGACACGGCCCAGACUCCUACGGGAGGCAGCAGUGGGGAAUAUUGGACAAUAGGGCGGAAAGACCUGAUCCACGCAAUAGCCGCGUGAGUGAUGAAGGACC
rnacentral:rRNA from 1 species